CUUCCGGCGUCACUUCCCACGCGACCUCCUGCGGGAAACAUGGCGGCUCUCGGCGGCGUCCGCUGGUUGACCCGAGCGCUGGUUGCUGCCCCGAACCCGGGGGCAUGGCGGAGCCUGGGUACCUCGGCGGUGGCGCACGCCGCCUCGCGGAGCCAGGCCGAGGAUGUAAGGGUGGAGGGCGCCUUUCCCGUGACCAUGCUCCCAGGAGACGGUGUGGGGCCUGAGCUGAUGCACGCUGUCAAGGAGGUGUUCAAGGCUGCCUCUGUCCCGGUGGAGUUCCAGGAACAUCACCUGAGCGAGGUACAGAAUAUGGCAUCUGAGGAGAAGCUGGAGCAGGUGCUGAGUUCCAUGAAGGAGAACAAGGUGGCCAUCAUUGGAAAGAUCCACACCCCGAUGGAAUAUAAGGGGGAAUUAGCCUCCUACGAUAUGCGGCUGAGGCGUAAGUUGGACUUGUUUGCCAAUGUAGUCCAUGUGAAGUCACUUCCUGGGUAUAAGACUCGACACAACAAUUUAGAUCUGGUGAUCAUUCGGGAGCAGACAGAAGGGGAAUACAGCUCUCUGGAACAUGAGAGUGCAAGGGGUGUGAUUGAGUGCUUGAAGAUUGUCACUCGAACCAAAUCUCAGCGGAUUGCAAAGUUCGCCUUCGACUACGCCACUAAGAAGGGGCGGAGCAAGGUCACGGCUGUCCACAAGGCCAACAUCAUGAAACUUGGGGAUGGGUUAUUCCUGCAGUGCUGUGAGGAAGUUGCUGAACUGUACCCCAAAAUCAAGUUUGAGACAAUGAUCAUAGACAACUGCUGCAUGCAGCUGGUACAGAAUCCUUACCAGUUUGAUGUGCUGGUGAUGCCCAAUCUCUAUGGGAACAUUAUCGACAAUCUGGCUGCUGGCUUGGUUGGGGGAGCUGGUGUGGUCCCCGGUGAGAGCUACAGUGCAGAGUACGCAGUCUUUGAGACGGGUGCCCGGCACCCAUUUGCCCAGGCAGUGGGCAGGAAUAUAGCCAACCCCACCGCUAUGCUGUUGUCAGCUUCCAACAUGCUGCGGCAUCUCAAUCUCGAGUAUCACUCCAACAUGAUUGCAGAUGCCGUGAAGAAGGUGAUCAAAGUGGGCAAGGUGCGGACUCGAGACAUGGGCGGCUACAGCACCACAACCGACUUCAUCAAGUCUGUCAUCGGCCACCUGCACCCUUAUGGGGGCUAGAGCCCUUUAGUCCCUCCAACCUCACAAGGACCAUACUACCUACAUCUCCCUUCAGUACAGUGGACCAGAGAAGAGCCCUUAACCUGACCAUAACCAUCACCUGGGCAGAGCCUAGGUUCGAACUUCUGACAUGGGUGGCUAUGCUACCUGCCAAGACUUCACUGAGGCUGUCAUUGAUGCCCUGUCCUGCCCAUAGGUCCCACCCACACCUGUUUAAGGUGUCUCAAUAAAACAUGUAUAUCGACUCUU